CUACGGGAUGCAGCAGUGGGGAAUAUUGCACAAUGGGGGAAACCCUGAUGCAGCAACGCCGCGUGGAGGAUGACGCAUUUCGGUGUGUAAACUCCUUUUAUAUAGGAAGAUAAUGACGGUACUAUAUGAAUAAGCACCGGCUAACUCCGUGCCAGCAGCCGCGGUAAUACGGAGGGUGCAAGCGUUACUCGGAAUCACUGGGCGUAAAGCGCGCGCAGGCGGCCCCUUAAGUUGGAUGUGAAAGCCUACGGCUUAACCGUAGAACUGCAUCCAAAACUGAGGGGCUAGAGUCUGGGAGGGGAAGAUGGAAUUAGUUGUGUAGGGGUAAAAUCCGUAGAGAUAACUAGGAAUACCAAAAGCGAAGGCGAUCUUCUGGAACAGUACUGACGCUGAGGCGCGAAAGCGUGGGGAGCAAACAGGAUUAGAUACCCGAGUAGUC
rnacentral:rRNA from 1 species